rnacentral:rRNA from 1 species
CGACGAGCGGCGAACGGGUGAGUAACACGUGGGUGACCUGCCCCUUACUCUGGGAUAAGCCUGGGAAACUGGGUCUAAUACCGGAUAUGACUUCAUGCUGCAUGGUGUGGGGUUGAAAGUUUUUUCGGUGGGGGAUGGGCCCGCGGCCUAUCAGCUUGUUGGUGGGGUGAUGGCCUACCAAGGCUUCGACGGGUAGCCGGCCUGAGAGGGCGUCCGGCCACACUGGGACUGAGACACGGGCCCG